GAUUGGCCGCCGGUGACGGGUGGCCGGGCCGGGGGCGGGAGGGCUUCUGUGGUAGGAAGGGAGGUCCGCUCGGCCGGGCGCGCCGCCCCAGUGCUCUGUGGGAUACUGGAAGUCUCGAGCGUCUCCUCCCGGUUCCCAGCCCUCCUCUGGCCCGCACUCAUAGAAACAGUCACACACCCCCUGCCUCCCCUCUCUUCCCUCUCCGCCUCCCCCUUCCCCCCUCGCGAUAAGAAGACCCGGCGGCAGGAGAGGGGAUGAAGAUGGCGGACGCGAAGCAGAAGCGGAACGAGCAGCUGAAGCGCUGGAUCGGCUCCGAGACGGACCUCGAGCCUCCCGUGGUGAAGCGCCAGAAGACCAAGGUGAAGUUCGACGAUGGCGCCGUCUUCCUGGCUGCUUGCUCCAGUGGCGACACGGACGAGGUCCUCAAGCUGCUGCACCGCGGCGCCGACAUCAAUUACGCCAAUGUGGACGGACUCACCGCCCUGCACCAGGCUUGCAUUGAUGACAAUGUUGAUAUGGUGAAGUUUCUGGUAGAAAAUGGAGCAAAUAUUAAUCAACCUGAUAAUGAAGGCUGGAUACCACUACAUGCAGCUGCUUCCUGUGGAUAUCUCGAUAUUGCAGAGUUUUUGAUUGGUCAAGGAGCACACGUAGGAGCUGUCAACAGUGAAGGAGACACACCUUUAGAUAUUGCUGAGGAGGAGGCAAUGGAAGAGCUACUUCAAAAUGAAGUUAAUCGGCAAGGGGUUGAUAUAGAAGCAGCUCGAAAGGAAGAAGAACGAAUAAUGCUUAGAGAUGCAAGACAAUGGCUAAACAGUGGUCACAUAAAUGAUGUCCGGCAUGCAAAAUCUGGAGGGACAGCCCUGCACGUUGCAGCUGCUAAAGGCUAUACAGAAGUUUUAAAACUUUUAAUACAGGCAGGCUAUGAUGUUAAUAUUAAAGAUUAUGAUGGCUGGACACCUCUUCAUGCUGCAGCUCACUGGGGUAAAGAAGAAGCAUGUCGAAUUUUAGUGGACAAUCUGUGUGAUAUGGAGAUGGUCAACAAAGUGGGCCAGACAGCCUUUGAUGUGGCAGAUGAAGACAUUUUAGGAUAUUUAGAAGAAUUGCAAAAGAAACAAAAUCUGCUCCAUAGUGAAAAACGAGAGAAGAAAUCUCCACUCAUUGAAUCAACAGCCAAUAUGGAGAAUAAUCAGUCACAGAAGACCUUUAAAAACAAAGAGACAUUGAUUAUUGAGUCAGAGAAAAAUGCAUCCCGUAUUGAAUCUCUGGAACAAGAAAAGGUUGAUGAUGAAGAAGAAGGAAAGAAAGAUGAAUCUAGCUGCUCUAGUGAAGAAGAUGAGGAAGAUGACUCAGAGUCAGAAGCUGAAACAGAUAAGACAAAACCCAUGGCUUCUGUAACUAAUGCCAAUACUUCUAGUACACAAGCAGCUCCUGUGGCUGUUACAACACCUACUGUGUCAUCGGGUCAGGCAACACCUACUUCACCUAUUAAAAAGUUUCCAACCUCAGCUACAAAAGUUUCUCCCAAAGAAGAAGAGAGAAAAGACGAGUCUCCUGCAUCUUGGAGGUUAGGACUUAGAAAGACAGGCAGUUACGGUGCACUUGCAGAAAUCACAGCGUCUAAAGAGGCUCAGAAAGAAAAAGACACUGCAGGUGUUAUGCGUUCAGCUUCAAGUCCCAGACUUUCCUCCUCUUUGGAUAAUAAAGAAAAGGAGAAAGAUAGUAAGGGAACUAGGCUUGCGUAUGUUGCACCUACAAUACCCAGACGACUAGCCAGUACAUCUGACAUCGAAGAGAAAGAAAACAGAGACUCUUCAAGUUUGCGAAUAAGUAGUUCGUAUACAAGAAGAAAAUGGGAAGAUGAUCUCAAAAAAAAUAGCUCAAUUAAUGAAGGAUCAACUUAUCAUAAAAGUUGCUCCUUCGGUAGAAGACAUAAUGAUUUGAUUAGUUCUAGUGUUCCAAGCACCACAUCAACACCAACAGUUACCUCUGCAGCUGGGCUUCAGAAAAGCCUGCUUUCCAGCACAAGCACUACUACAAAGAUUACAACGGGUUCUUCCUCAGCAGGCACACAAAGCAGUACCUCAAAUCGUUUGUGGGCUGAGGAUAGUGCUGAAAAAGAAAAGGACAGUGUUCCUACGGCAGUGACCAUUCCUGUUGCUCCAACUGUUGUAAAUGCUGCAGCCUCUACCACAACCCUGACUACAACUACUGCUGGCACUGUCUCCUCCACAUCAGAGGUCAGGGAGAGACGCAGAUCAUACCUCACUCCUGUUAGAGAUGAAGAGUCUGAAUCCCAAAGAAAAGCAAGAUCUAGACAAGCAAGGCAGUCGAGAAGAUCAACACAGGGGGUGACAUUGACUGAUCUUCAGGAAGCUGAAAAAACAAUAGGAAGAAGUCGUUCUACCCGAACCAGAGAACAAGAAAAUGAAGAAAAAGAAAAAGAGGAAAAAGAAAAACAGGAUAAAGAGAAGCAAGAAGAAAAGAAGGAGUCAGAAACAUCUAGAGAAGAUGAAUAUAAGCAAAAGUACUCCAGAACGUAUGAUGAGACUUACCAGCGUUACAGACCAGCAUCAACUUCAAGUUCAACUACUCCAUCCUCUUCACUUUCUACCAUGAGCAGUUCACUCCAUGCUUCAAGUCAACUAAACAGGCCAAAUAGUCUUGUAGGUAUAACAUCUGCUUACUCCAGAGGAUUAACAAAAGAAAACGAAAGAGAGGGAGAAAAGAAAGAAGAGGAAAAAGAAGGAGAGGAUAAAUCACAGCCUAAAUCAAUCCGAGAGCGACGGCGACCAAGAGAGAAAAGAAGAUCUACAGGAGUUUCGUUUUGGACACAAGAUAGUGAUGAAAAUGAACAAGAUCAACAAUCAGAUACAGAAGAAGGAUCCAAUAAGAAAGAAACUCAGACGGAUUCCAUUUCUAGAUAUGAAACCACUUCCACGUCAGCUGGUGAUCGCUAUGAUUCCUUGCUGGGUCGCUCUGGAUCCUACGGUUACUUAGAAGAAAGGAAACCUCACGGUAGCAGGCUAGAGAGGGAUGACUCAACUGACUUUAAAAAGCUUUAUGAACAAAUUCUAGCUGAAAAUGAAAAGCUGAAAGCACAGCUACAUGAUACAAAUAUGGAACUGACAGAUCUUAAAUUGCAAUUAGAAAAGGCCACCCAGAGACAAGAAAGAUUUGCUGAUAGGUCACUAUUGGAAAUGGAGAAAAGGGUGACCGGCAAGAGUCAGUAUCUUCUGGGCGGAACGAAGAGCUCUAGAAAGAAGAAUAUCUGAAAUGGAAGAAGAGCUCAAAAACCUGCACCAAAUAAAGCAAAUUCAAACUCUGAGAGAGUUAAAUGAGCGACUGCUGACUGAGAAUAGGGCCUUGACAAGAGUGGUAGCCAAGCGCUCAGGGUUCUGUAGGCAACUGCAGUCUGUGCACCUAUAAUUUGUAGUUUCAUCCUUCUUCUUGGUAGAGCCAGAUGUUACCAGACCUAAAAGCAGACAACCAGAGGCUAAAGGAUGAAAAUGGGGCCUUGAUCAGAGUUAUAAGCAAACUUUCCAAAUAGAAAAAAAAAGCAGCAAGUAAUGGAAUUGCACACGUUAGUAACCCAGCGGACCAUAAUUGACAGUCACUGGAAGCCUGGGAAGAAUCCUUGGAGACUGUCAUUUUCGGAUAUCCUGCCAAAUGCCCUCUUAUCUAGGAGUUUUGUUUUGUUUAAUUAUCUGGGUUUUUUUUUUUCUUGUAUCAAGACCAUUGUUUCAUGUUAAUGCAGCUGCUGAGAAGAUUUUUUUUUUAAUGACUGAGAAAACUUGUUUACAGCUCCAGCAUAUAAGGAAAGUGUUCAAGGCCAGAUAUGCCUCAGAUAUUUAACCAGUAAGCCUUAGUUGUACAUAAAUACUUUUGUGUCAACAAAAACUUUCAGCUUUCACAGAAGACAGUUAUUCAACUUUUUUUUGAUGUGCCACAGUUUCCAGUUUUUCAAUAUUUAAUUUGUUUUGCUUUCCAUCUAAGUUUGGGUUUGUAUUUUUCCUUCUAACUCUCCAUGUGGCAGCCUCUGCUAUGUUUUCACAGCUCUCUCCUUUACAGAAAAGAACACUUACCCUUCUGAGGUCAUUGUCGUGCGUCAGGCUGAUGCUGUGUCGUCUCCCACCUGGAACCGAAUUGCUUGGUGGAACAUUGCUUUCACUGUUUGUGCAAUAUGCAUUUAUUUCUUAUAUGAAUGCUUUAAAGUCAAUGGAGAUUAGAUUCUUUUAAGUCCUAUUUUCUGCCUUCAUUGGUCACUUUCUUGUUUCUGUUUGUUUUUUAUUAUUGUAGAAUGAGAUGUUAGAUUCUGUAACCUUCACAUUCAUUGUAGCAGGUACUGAGUGAUGCUGUACAUAUAAAUAAGUGUAUUGUUUUGAUUUUUAGACCACCACAUGGCAUGCUUGACUAUUUUCUCAAUUCAACAAAGUAGGCUACUCCAUAAUAGUGUUAAAAACGAAAUUUGCUAACAAUGUGAUAUAAAGACUUUAAAAGUAACACAUUCUGUGGAGCCCUAUCUUUACAAAAGUUUUCUACUGUAAAGUGCUUUUACUUUUACUUUUAGUUUUUGUUUGAUAGUAUUCAACCAUAAUUAAAGUUGCAUAAGAUAAUUGCUUCACAUUUCACAUACCUAAUAUUUAUCUGAGUGCUGUCUAAAACUGUUGUGCUAGCCAAAGUGAUGCUAUGAAAUCAUUUGCAGACUUAACCCGUGAGUUAACGUUAAAUGCACUGUUAUUGCCAUGUGAAGAGGCAUUGACUUUGAUAUCACCAUCAUGUUCAGACCAUUUUAUACAUUUCAGUGGCCUUUUUUUAAACAAAAAAGCAAAACCAAGUACAUAGUGAAGACAGCUUUUAUUUGGACAAAUAGCUUUUAUAUUUUCAUUAAACCAUGCAAAAAAUAUUAUACCUUUCUGGCACAUGACCGUGUCCUUAACCACUGAACAGUCCAGCCAUUUGGGCAAAUUGUACAUUGCAAAGCUUACAGCAGCCGAGUGUAUUAUUGAUUGUAUUGUGUACUAUAUUAAAUGUGAAUUUGUACCCCUUCAUUUUAAAAGGUCAUUGUGUUCUACUGCCUAUUUUAGAUUACUUUGGGGUUGGGAAAGGGUGUUUUGGUAAGCAGGAUUUUAAGUCCUCUCUCGAUUGGUUUUAUGAAGAUAUAAGGUUAUGCUCUUACUACCAAGCUCAGGAUUCUUGAUUUUUAAAGGUACAAGGAUAGUUGUGGGAAUUUUAUUUUUGGUUAUAUUUGAACUGUAUGAGUGGUGGGUCUGAAUAUAGAGAAUUUCCAUGGUCUUAUGUGGACAUAAAAUAUACAGAUAAUUGAUCAGUUUGAGUGACUGCAACACCUUCUGGUUGCACAACAGUUAGGCAUGCUAAGGAUUAUAUUUGUGAAGUUUGGAUGCCUGUGAAGAAUGAUUAAAUACAUGUUUCUAAUAUUUUAGUGUUUUGUAUUUAGGUUAUUUAUUCUUUGUAUCUAAAACUGAACAGCUACUGUGCUAUAUUGAUUUUAUUGGUAGUAUUGAGCAGACCUUGUUUCUGCAUGAAACUAGUUGCAAAACCCACUAUUUUGGAAAUAAAAAUGUAUUUUGACAUAUACAAAUAAAAUGAAUAAAACUAUUUUAAAUGUGUGAACUUUUACUGAAGACAUUUUAAAUUUUGUUCUGAGAUAUUUAAAUUCUGCAUGGGUAUUUUUUUCACUAAUUGCUUUAGCUGGAUUCCAAUUUGAAUAAUUUUUGAAAUUGUAAUAUUGUGAUAAUUUGCACAACAUUGUACAUGCACAUCUGUAAAUGCAAUCUUAAUUGCCAUAUUUAUGCAAUCUGUGUAUCAAUUUGGACAAAUGUUUAUAUAUUUUACAUAAAGCUAUGUGUAUGCA